rnacentral:rRNA from 1 species
GAUGAACGCUAGCGGCAGGCUUAACACAUGCAAGUCGAGGGGUAUGGUUCUUCGGAACCAGAGACCGGCGCGCGGGUGCGUAACGCGUAUGCAAUCUACCUUUCACAGAGGGAUAGCCCAGAGAAAUUUUGGAUUAAUACCUCAUAGUAUUAUAGGAUGGCAUCAUUUUAUAAUUAAAGUCACAACGGUAGAAAGAUGAG